rnacentral:rRNA from 1 species
CAACAGGGAUUGCCUUAGUAACGGCGAGUGAAGCGGCAACAGCUCAAAUUUGAAAUCUGGCCUUCUGGUCCGAAUUGUAAUUUGUAGAGGAUGAUUUUGGUGCGGUACCUUCCGAGUUCCUUGGAACAGGACGCCUUAGAGGGUGAGAGCCCCGUACGGUUGGAUGCCUAGCCUUUGUAAAUCUCCUUCGACGAGUCGAGUAGUUUGGGAAUGCUGCUCUAAAUGGGAGGUAAAUUUCUUCUAAAGCUAAAUAUUGGCCAGAGACCGAUAGCGCACAAGUAGAGUGAUCGAAAGAUGAAAAGCACUUUGAAAAGAGGGUUAAAUAGCACGUGAAAUUGUUGAAAGGGAAGGAUUUAUGACCAGACUUUUUCUAGGCGGAUCAUCCGGUGUUCUCACCGGUGCACUUUGUCUAGUUUAGGCCAGCAUCGAUUUUCGGCAGCGGAUAAAAGCUUCAGGAAUGUGGCUCCUCCGGGAGUGUUAUAGCCUGUUGUAUAAUACGCCGCUGGGGAUCGAGGUACGCGCUUCUGCAAGGAUGCUGGCGUAAUGGUUAUCAAUCACCCGUCUUGAAACACGGACCAAGGAGUCGAACAUUUAUGCGAGUGUUUGGGUGUUAAACCCUCACGCGUAAUGAAAGUGAACGGAGGUGAGAGCCCUUACGGGUGCAUCAUCGACCGAUCCUGAUGUUUUCGGAUGGAUUUGAGUAAGAGCAUAACUGUUCGGACCCGAAAGAUGGUGAACUAUGCGUGGAUAGGGUGAAGCCAGAGGAAACUCUGGUGGAGGCUCGCAGCGGUUCUGACGUGCAAAUCGAUCGUCAAAUCUGCGCAUGGGGGCGAAAGACUAAUCGAACCAUCUAGUAGCUGGUUACCGCCGA